AGGUAUGGCCUAAGUAAGCGGCGAAUUGAAGCGGCCAAAGCUCAAAUUUUGAAUCUGGCUCUUUCAGAGUCCGAGUUGUAAUUUGAAGAAGGUAUCUUUGGGUCUGGCUCUUGUCUAUGUUUCUUGGAACAGAACGUCACAGAGGGUGAGAAUCCCGUGCGAUGAGAUGAUCCAGGCCUAUGUAAAGUUCCUUCGAAGAGUCGAGUUGUUUGGGAAUGCAGCUCUAAGUGGGUGGUAAAUUCCAUCUAAAGCUAAAUAUUGGCGAGAGACCGAUAGCGAACAAGUACAGUGAUGGAAAGAUGAAAAGAACUUUGAAAAGAGAGUGAAAAAGUACGUGAAAUUGUUGAAAGGGAAGGGCUUGAGAUCAGACUUGGUAUUUUGUAUGUUACUUCUUCGGGGGUGGCCUCUACAGUUUAUCGGGCCAGCAUCAGUUUGGGCGGUAGGAGAAUUGCGUUGGAAUGUGGCACGGCUUCGGUUGUGUGUUAUAGCCUUCGUCGAUACUGCCAGCCUAGGACUGAGGACUGCGGUUUAUACCUAGGAUGUUGGCAUAAUGAUCUUAAGUCG
rnacentral:rRNA from 1 species